AUGAAACGCUGGCGGUCUGCUUAACACAUGCAAGUCGAACGGGGGGUAGCAAUACCCCUAGUGGCGGACGGGUUGAGUAACGCGUGAGAAUCUGCCUAAAGGACCGGGACAAACCACUGGAAAACGGUGGCUAAUACCGGAUGUGCCUGAAAGUGAAAGGGGAAACUCGCCUUUAGAGGAGCUUCGCGUUCUGAUUAGCUAGUUGGUAGGGUAAAAGCCUACCAAGGCGACAAUCAGUAGCUGGUCUGAGAGGAUGACCAGCCACAACUGGGACUGAGACACGGCCCCAGACUCCUACGGGAGGCAGCAGUGGGGAAUUUUCCGCAAUUGGGCGAAAGCCUGACGGAGCAAGACCGUGUGAGGGAGAAAGGCUCUUGGGUCGUAAACCUCUUUUUGUCAGGGAAGAAACACAAUGACGGUACCUGACGAAUCAGCCUCGGCUAACCUCCGUGCCAGCAGCCGCGGUAAUACGGAGGAGGCAAGCGUUUAUCCGGAAUUAAUUGGGCGUAAAGCGUCCGUAGGUGGCUCUCUCAAGUCUGCGGUCAAAGACCGGGGCUCAACCCUGGAAAGGCCGUGGAAAACUGUGAGCUAGGAGUGCGGUAGGGGCAGAGGGAAUUCCCAGUUGUUAGCGGUGAAAUGCGUAGAGAUUGGGAAGAACACCGGUGGCGAAAAGCGCUCUGCUGGGGCCGCAACUGACACUAAUGGGACGAAAGCUAGGGGAGCGAAUGGGAUUAGAUACCCCAGUAGUCCUAGCCGUAAACGAUGGAUACUAGGCGUGGCUCGUAUCGAACCCGAGCUGUGCCGUAGCUAACGCGUUUAAGUAUCCCGCCCUGGGGAGUACGCACGCAAGUGUGAAAACUUCAAAGGAAUUGACGGGGGCCCGCACAAGCGGUGGAGUAUGUGGUUUAAUUCGAUGCAACGCGAAGAAAACCUUACCAGGGCUUGACAUGUCCGGAAACCCUGCCGAAAGGUGGGGGUGCCUUCGGGAGGCCGGAACACAGGUGGUGCAUGGCUGUCGUCAGCUCGUGUUCGUGAGAUGUUGGGUUAAGUCCCGCAACGAGCGCAACCCUCGUUCUUAGUUGCCAGCACUUCGGGUGGGCACUCUAGGAAGACUGCCGGUGACAAAACCGGAGGAAAGGUGGGGAUGACGUCAAGUCAGCAUGCCCCUUACGUCCUGGGCUACACACGUACUACAAUGCUACGGACAAAGGGCAGCAAGCGAGCGAUCGUAAAGCAAAUCCCACCAAAACCGUGGGCCUCAGUUCAGAUCGCAGGCUGCAACUCGGCCUGCGUGAAGGAGGAAUCGCUAGUAAUUGCAGGUCAGCAUACUGCAGUGAAUCCGUUCCCGGGCCUUGUACACACCGCCCGUCGCACCAUGGAAGCUGGCCACGCCCGAAGUCGUUACCCUAACCUGAAAAGGAGGGGGAUUGCCGAAGGCAGGGCCUGGUGACUGGGGUG
rnacentral:rRNA from 1 species